UGGGGAAUUUUGGACAAUGGGCGCAAGCCUGAUCCAGCCAUGCCGCGUGCGGGAAGAAGGCCUUCGGGUUGUAAACCGCUUUUGUCAGGGAAGAAAUCUUCUGAGUUAAUACCUCGGGAGGAUGACGGUACCUGAAGAAUAAGCACCGGCUAACUACGUGCCAGCAGCCGCGGUAAUACGUAGGGUGCAAGCGUUAAUCGGAAUUACUGGGCGUAAAGCGUGCGCAGCGGUUUUGUAAGACAGAGGUGAAAUCCCCGGGCUCAACCUGGGAACUGCCUUUGUGACUGCAAGGCUUGGGUGCGGCAGAGGGGGGAUGGAAUUCCGCGUGUAGCAGUGAAAUGCGUAGAUAUGCGGAGGAACACCGAUGGCGAAGGCAAUCCCCUGGGCCUGCACUGACGCUCAUGCACGAAAAGCGUGGGGAGCAAAACAGGAUUAGAUACCCUGGUAGUCCACGCCCUAAAACGAUGUC
rnacentral:rRNA from 1 species